UCUGAGACGCAGCCCCACCAGAGAGGGGAGGGGGAACCGUGCCAAAAGAAAACUGGGGCCAAAAACGCGUCUGAGCAAAGCAACAAAAGGAGAAGGUGGCUACCAUGGAGCAGAGUGUGGGACAGAGCAGGCAGGUGUGCUGCCACCCACCCCUGGGUAGCAGGACAUGGGAAGGUAGAAAGCACGACAGAGGGUGUGGAUGCUACACAUACCAAUGUGUUCAUUGGGAAAAAGCUUCCUCUGAUUUGGAUUUAACCUCUGGCUGAGGAAACCUUUCUGCUCAUGGAAGUACCACCCAGAACGGCUUCUCUGAGCAGCUGGGCUGGGGCCGUCCCUGCCCAGACCUCACCUUGUACUGGAGAAGCACUGGGUGGGGUGUUUGCUCCUGCAGAUGCCCUGGCUGUCUCAUUAACUUGUUGGAAAAUAGGAUGUAACGUCAAAUGAGGCACCUGGAAGAGGUUUUUUUUUUUCCCUCCUGUUGCUGUUGGGCAUGUUGUGUUUGCGAUGCAGUUGUUAUGGAGCAAAGAAACUAGCAGAAACAUGACAAAGUUCGUUUAUGGGCAGCACAGUUUUACAGGGCUGGGUGAUUAUUUUACAGUUUAAAGCUGUUCCAAGGGAAUUCCUUGCACGGGAGGAUCUGUGGGCUGCCACGAGGCUUUACCGGGCACUCGUGUUCAUAAUGAACUUCAGCCUCCUUCAUGGCACAGCACAGGGACACCACCACGUUUAAUUUGAAGUGUAGAUGCGGGUGCAAAGGCAAAAAGGGGAGGGCCCGGGAAGUAAGCAGGUGUGGAGGUGGGAUGUGGGAGGGCUGGGCAGGAGUGUCACCUCUCCUUCACCUCCUGGGGAGAGCACAGCCCGGGGACACCUGCCCGGACAGGUAAAUCCCAUGCCCCAAACGCCUCCUCUUUGCACUGCAGCACCGGCAAAGUCACUGGGUGAAAACCAGCUUCUCCCGUUCACCCCCGACACACAACGUGACCCUUUGUGGCUCGAGUCUCAGCACUGGCCCUUCCGAUGGAUCCAGGACAGACUGACGUCCGUGUAGGGAGGCUGGUCCCUGGGGCCACACGUGCUGCUGGGGGCUGCUCCUGCUGAUGGUCCCUCGCUCCUGACACAUGGUUUUCUGCCCGGCCAGUGCCCAGGAGCAGAGCUCCUUCCUCCAGCCACAAAGGGAUUUAUUUCCCAGUUGACUGAUGAAGAGAGUAUUUCCCAUUUCUUCACUCUUGAAUCUGCUGACAGCAUCUCUUGGCAAGUGAUGGAUAUUGGAGAUGAUUUAUAGUUCUUUGUUACACAAAUGCCUCUGCAUUCUUCUCUGUCCUCUUGCAACAACCGUUCGUCACCUCUCCCAGCAAAAAAGCAAGAGCUUCAGCCCAGGAACAGCCCGAAGGAGGCGGCAUCAAGCGUUUCUCCUGCACUGGCUUUGUUCGCUGUAAAUGCACCAUCGGGGACACAAACGAGGGAAGCGGCAGCAUCACGGUGCUCUGCACCCACCCGGGUCCCCGUGCGGCUGCUUCCACUCGUCCGCCGGCAAGUCAAAAGGUUGGCAAAGAAAAACCGCCAUAAAUCAGGCAGAUAGGGGUUGUGGGGAGGAUUGUGUUUAUGUGAUUUUUCAUCUCAAAGUUUGUAAUUAAAGUAGUGAGUGCUACAGGAGGAACAGCUGCUGCCUGCACCUCUUAGGGUUCUCAGAUUUUGGCAACAUAAAUGUGCAGUUCUUGAGACCUUUAUUACAUAAAAUAGUUUUUGUAAUGCUGUUGUUGCUUAAUUGGAUUUCUGUUUGUUUUACUUCAAGAACACCAGGAAAAAUACCUGUACUGUUUGAUCUGAUACAGAGUACUAGGAGACUUACCUGUACUAUUGGGUCUCACAGUUUAUCAUAAUGAAUAAAUGCAUGAAUUAAAUAAAUUCUGAUCUUAA